rnacentral:rRNA from 1 species
CGACCCGGCCAUAGUGGCUGGGCAACACCCGGUCUCAUAUCGAACCCGGAAGUUAAGCCAGCCACGUUAGAACCGCUGUGGGGUCCGCGAGGCCCCGUAGCGGUUCUAAGCCGGGGUCGG